AAAGGCCAUUGUUAGGCCUAUUUCACACAUACCUAAUGAUUGUUUGGCAACCACCUGGCAACCACCUGUCACUAGGGAAAAUCAUUUCUAAGUAGUUGCUGGAGGUUGAUGGCAGUUGCUGUAAAAUUGAUUGCUAAGCUCCGGUCACACAGACCCAGAGACCAGCCAGUAACCCCUUGGUAACCACUGGUUACUAAUGGUUAAUAUAUGCAUUCCCCCACCAGCUGCGAUAACGCUUGGACAGAUCAUUGAAUAUCAGUGCAGGGAGCAGUCAGGCUCAAGUAUGGUGUCAUCAUGAACCAUGGACAACUCAAAAUGACACGUGGCUUUAACAAUAAACCUCCCAGUGCAUUCGAAACUCUCCGUGUAGUGAUGAAUCUCAGCGUGACCUGAAAUGGCUGAGAGGAAGAGAGAAGAUGGAAAGAUAACAAAGAAAAUGAGAGAGAGAGAGAGAGGCAGCAAUAUCGAGACAGAAAUGGAAGGAAAAAAGUACCGCCCAUGUCUUAGCUCAUAUGAAACUUGAGGCACCAGCA
ensembl:lncRNA